AUCAGAUCUGCUUGGUGCAGCAGCACAUCCCGACAAAAUUACCAGAACAUCCCGAUAGAAUAACCAGAACUAUGGCAGACGAGGGGGAUGUGGUCAACCCGUACCCAGGGCAAUGUUUGCAGGAGGGCGAUGGUUUUAGCUAUCCCCAAUUUAAAGAGAAAUCAGAACAAAUAUCUAAAGAAUGUUUUGACUUCAUUGAUCAUGACAAAAAUGGCGUCAUUGACAAAGCGGAGCUUAUCACAGUGAUGCGAGGAAUAGGACUCAAUCCAUCGGAGAAGGACGCAGAGGAGUUGAUCGCAUCUACGGCGGAAACUGGUGAAAUUAAAAAUUUCGGAUGUUAAGGAGGCUGGAUGGUCGCGGCAAUUUGUAGUCUCUAUUCGCCUCCGUAAAACGAAGAGCUUAAUUUUUAUUAAGCUUCAUUGUGUAUGAAAUAUUUAAAAUGUUAUGGCUGAAGUAUUUGGAGUGAUACGUUACUUAAUAAGUGUUUAUGACUAAAAAAAUAUCAUUUUUAAAACGUUUUAAUAUGUUAAAGCUAAAAUAUUUGGCAGUUAUUCUUUACUUAAUCAAUGUUUAUGACCAAAAAAUAUCAUUUUUAAAAAGUUUAAGGCAGAUGUUGACCAUCGACCCUCCCCAAAAUAUAAUCCAGUAUAUACGAAGAGAGAAAAUUACAUCUGAUUGUCAAAAAUAUUUUGGUAUAACAAAAUGAGAUAGUAAUCAAAGACGUCGGAACGGGGGGGGGGGGGGGGGGGCUUAGCCCCCCUCCGCUCCACUUGUUCGCAAAGUUAGACCUCACCAUCAGGCACAUAGCAUCAGGGAGGGGCUAGCCCCACCUCCACUUUUUCUCGCAGCAAACAUAAUAUUUCUUAAAUUUACAUGUAAGAAAUUAAAGUAUCGGGAAGGUGCCGCUCCCCGCCCCCACAUUUCCAGGAGAAUGUAAGUAAUUGAAAUGAAAAUAAGUAAAUAUUAAAAGUGAUAUUGCACUUAUAGGUAUACUACCCUCCCCCCCCCCCCCCCCCCCCCCCCCCCCCCCCCCCCCCCGGAUUAGGAAUUUAAUGAUUUUGGGAAUAAGCCUUUUUUUUUUUUGCUUGUUAUGAUUUGUAAUGAUUAGUCUAACACCCCCCACUUUCAAUUUGUUACCGACGCCACUGACUAAUAUUGCUUGUGCAUAUAUUUGUAGCUGCAUAGCAUGUUUAGCAGAUAAUCCAGUUCUUUUUAAAACUUUUUGUAUUUGUAUGUACCUUCAGAUAAAAAGGUGGGAAAAGAAAUGUUCCAAUAGACAAGUCUCGUAUGAUGUUUUUAAAAAUACUGCUUAUUCACUCUAACGCCAGGGAGAAUACAUUGUAUAUAUAAACAUUAUUAACAUUUAUUUAAGGGAAGGACACUAUUUCAUGGGCAGUAUUUGACGACAUGAUGAAUGGCCCCUGUAAAUCAGAAAAACUCAACAAGAUGAAUAUGUUGGCAAUGUUUCUUAUCUUUGACAAUAACAAAGAUGGUUUCGUGGACGCCACUGAUUUCCAGAAAACAAUGAUCAUUUUGGAACAGCCCUUUGGUGAAUUUGAGACUAAGCUUUUCAUAGAAGAAAUGGACAAGAAGCCCCAGGGAAAAUUAAAUUACAAAGAUUUUGUGACCUUGAUGUACGGUGAAAGUUAUGCAGAGUAAAGAUUCUGUGCCUGUCGAUGGCAACAGACCUCACUUCAUGGGUAAAUAGACCUGGUAGCCUGAUGAAUAUCCCAAUGUGCGAGACGAGUUAGUGACUGUUUUCUUGGUGCGUUUGAUGCUUUUAAGAGGACUGAAUGGUUGUGGCCGUUUUUUGGACUGUAUUUACCUCCUCGAGAUGAAGAGCUCUAUAUAAAAAUGUAGUAAAAUACUCUUUCAAAGAUAAAAUAUUUGGAUUUUUCUUUACUACCACGCUCUCAGCCUCCCUAAGAAUUCUACAUGCAACCUGGUUUAUCAGCCAUUGAGUACUGUUUGUACCCAACCAUUUGUGUGGCUUGGGAUGUUAGUGUCUGUCCAUCUUUUUCUCUACCAUUCACACUUAAUAAAACCAUGAAAAGGAUACACAUGGAUGAGAGAACCAUUAGUCUACAUUUUUCAUUUUAAUUUCAUUUUCAAGAAACUAUUUGACAUUAUUUUAUCAAACUUCAUAUGCUUGGUGAAACUGGUGAGAGCAAUUCAAUUGUGUAAUAUGUGUAUUCUUUUUUUCUUUGAACAACAAUUUUACUUUACUAUAUGUAUUAUCUCAGACUAACGAAAUGAGAUGUAAAGGUUUUUUUUCAUAUUUAAUUGCAAUAAAUUGUACCACUGAC
rnacentral:misc_RNA from 1 species